CAAUACCUGUGUGAGAUCCUGCAAAGGGAAAUCAACCCAGGGUCUGCUAUGCCCAUGGACAAAAAGAGCAGACACGGAGAGCAUGCCUGGGCUGUGCUGAGAAGGUUAGCCCAGGAGAGCAGGGCAUGAGAAAGUGUACAAGCGUGGCCUAAUGCCAAGAUGGGGACAAGAGUUCUUUGUUUUGGGUGCAGGGAUGGCCGUGGACCUUGCAGACCCUACACCAACAUACCCUGUUGGGUGCUGCGGAGAGGUGAAGAACGAAAUGGUUGGCACAGAGAUGAAGCAGACUGAAGUAGGGACAAACACAAGGGUGGAGCAGUCCAUGAUGAGUUCUCAGACCCUGAUGGAAAAGGUUUUGGCGGAUGCAGCGGCAGUAGCAAAAAGCUACAGAAGAAGCUAAAGUCUUCAAAAUAGGCUCUGUAAGCAGCUGUUAAUGAGACUGAGUGGCUGCAGGAAGAGCGUUGGGAUACUGCAGAAGAGAAGGAUUGCCUCUUAACUCUGAUGAGUGCGACCCAAGAAGGAGUGGACUAAAAGAUGGUCACCUGGCUGAAGGGCUGAGUUCCCAGCCAACAAACUGCCAUAGUUCCCUAGCGACUAUCGGCGAGGGCGCUAGACCAGCAAGAAAGCUGUGACACCAGGCCUGGCCAGAAAGGGGCACCUAUCUGCUCUGAGCAAGGCCUGUGCAGAGCCAUGGAUGCCAUGCUGAAGAGCUCGCUGACAGCAACCCCCAGCACAGACAAACUCCAGCACAUCUUGGAGGUUCUGUCCCAGCCUCUCACACAGAUGUAUCCUGCAGCCAGCCCAGCUCCGGGAGCAGUAGUGACAGGUGAUCUCCUCCUGUCAAACCAAGCAACAUGGGUCUCAUUGAGGCUCAGAUGGAAGUUCCCGUGCAUCUCCUGGAGAGGAUGUGCCUGGGAUUCUGGAGACAGUUUCCUGCAGGAGGUCUGAGUGGGGAGAGAGCACUCACUGUUAUGACCCAUAGGUCUUCAAACAAGGUCUGCAGGGUUUGUGGGAGCAGCCACACUCCAGCCCUCCACCCAGAAGCCUGUUUACUGCAAACUGCUUACCACAGUUUGAGGCUCCAUCCCUGAGUUCCUAUUGGCGGAGUCCCAGAGCAGCUAAUUGAUGCCCUGGCCCUCCUUAAGCCAGCACAGAAACAGGAAGUUCUCUGAACACCUGAGCUUCUCCCUGUUCGAGACCAUGUGCUACCUGCUCCAGCUCCCGCUGCCCCAGCUUGAUUUCCUGGCAUCCAGACUCGGUGUGACUCAUGGCAUCCGAUUUGUGGCUGUGAUCGCAAUUUUGUCUUUUGCUUUGGAUCUUCCAGUAUCCUGACCCAGCUGACUCUCGACUCCUGUCUUGUGAGUGUGGACUCUGGCUCUGACCACUAGGUCUGGCUGCCCCGACCUGGCCAUGACACUGACUUUUGUACAAUUUCUCCAAUGCCCUUUUCUGCUCUCCAGCUCUGCUCCCUCCAGUAAGACACACCAAUCCCUUGGCUCCCAGAGUCCUAGUUGCCUGCUAUUCCAGAGCUGAGGGGUAGUGCUUGUAUUGCCCCCACCACAGCUGCUUUUCCUAUGGGAAUCUCCCUAGAGCAGAGGAGAAAUUUCCUCUUCUCUUAGGAUCAGUCCUGGCAGUAACUCCACCCACCCUGGCCUCAGCUGAGCUACUUUCUUUACCUGGGAUCAGGGACCAGUUUUGAAGUUUUUUGCAUGUGGGUGUAGGUGGGGGCAGAGGCUCAAGCUCCAGCAGUUCCCACUGGAGGACACCGCCCUGUCUUUCUAUGGUCUGACUAGGGCUCACCAUCCAUCCUGGAGCUGAACACCAGAUGGGAGCUGAUAGAUUGUCCUUGGUGGGCCAUGUCCUUGUGUGGGAUGGAGCUGUGUGCCAGAGAGGGCCAGGAGCAGAUGCACCACGCAUGGCCAGGAAUGGGUUAAACAGCCUGUAAUGCCAGGGGAAUACAACCAUGGCCACAUACAGACACCUUGGGCAUCCAUGGGGACUGAAUCUGGCCUUCGCUGCCAAGAGCACAAUUCACUCCAACCUGAGUCAUUACGGUAGUGACCCCUGGCAGCCCCUCUGGGGGGGGGGGGUCAGUAUUAUCUCUGUUAGUUGGGGCACAGGGUCAGAAAGCGACUGGCUGCAAGGUCACCUACCACGUCACUGAGCGAGGCAGGACUGAAGCACAGCCCUGAUACCAGUCCAGCUCCAACCACUAGACCACACCCACUUCCAAAGCCAGAGAACCCAGGAGCCCUGACUCUCACAGCCAGUCUUUAAAUGACAAGAGCAAACUCCCUCCCACUCAGGAAGCCAUAGAAAGGACCAUCUGCUGAGCCUCGCUCUGCAAUGCCACUGUCAGAGACCAUUGCUGGUGGGUGCCAGGUGACUGAGCAGGGAGCUCCUGGAGAGACUCCUAGGGAAUGGUCAGUCAUGUUUCACUGUGACCCUCUGGGAGCCAUGCAAAGAAUGCAGCAUUGAAGAGACUCUCCUGCUCUAACAAAGGGUUUCUGUUCUCCUCGAUAGUCAGCCAGUGAGGCCAGCUUGCAGAAUGUGGAAGAGCCAUUUGGUGAUGGGUUGGAGGAUUCACCAUGUAGGUGGCAGCAUGUGGAAGUGAAAGAGCAAAGCUGGACUAUCUGCUGAGCUGCUGCAGUCCAGUGAGCACAGCCAGGGAGAGAAGAGGGAGAUCUCGAAGGUGGCUGGCGGCUGCAGGGAGGAAAAGCAGUCUGGGAGCCAGGAGAAUAGAAAUAAAUAGUUAAUGAUGAAUACGGCAGGCUUUGUGUUGUGUGGUGAAGGGUUAACAGUGAGUCUCUUUACUAUCACAGUAAACUUUAAAAUAGCUGUGUAUGAUGAAAGGGCAGGUCUAUAAAGGUAAGAGGUCACUCUAGGGGUUUGAAGUCUCAGAUUUUGUCGCUAUUGCCUGCUUCUACCAGCUGAUCUCAACCCAACAAAUCCCUGAGAUGGUAGCAGUAGUGAGCUCUUGUCCUCUAUUUCUGGAUUAACCCCGAGAAA